rnacentral:rRNA from 1 species
CGAGAACCUUACCUGGUCUUGACAUCCCUCUGAAAGCUCGAGUAAUGUUGAGCCCUCUUCGGACAGAGGAGACAGGUGGUGCAUGGUUGUCGUCAGCUCGUGUCGUGAGAUGUUGGGUUAAGUCCCGCAACGAGCGCAACCCUUACCUUUAGUAGCCAGCACGUAAUGGUGGGAACUCUAGAGGGACUGCCCGGGAUAACCGGGAGGAAGGUGGGGAUGACGUCAAAUCAUCAUGCCCCUUAUGACCAGGGCUACACACGUGCUACAAUGGCGUAAACAAAGAGAAGCGAGCCUGCGAAGGGGAGCAAAUCUCAAAAAUAACGUCUCAGUUCGGAUUGUAGUCUGCAACUCGACUACAUGAAGCUGAAUCGUAGUAAUCGCAGAUCAGAUGCUGCGGAAUGCUC